rnacentral:lncRNA from 12 species
GUCAAGUCCAAUCUAAUUCCAAAGAAAACAAAAAAAAGAAACACAGUUUGAGCACGAGCUGUGUGCUUGGCACAGUAUUCAGGCUAGGAAUUCCUACCCCAGAGAGCUUAUUUGCUGUGAGUACACAGGAAAGGAACUCAGAAGAGUACAAGGAAAUGAUAGCCAGCUUAAGAUGGGUGCCCAAUUACCAGAAGACAACGGUUUUCAAACAGGAUUCCAUGAAAUCCAUUCAUCAAAGACGCUUCAGGUUUCUUGUCUGGGAGGGAGACUUCCCCGAGGGACCCUCACCUGGCCUCCCCUGUCUUCUGCCCGCCUUCUACUUUACCUGCCCUGCAGUCCAGUACCCCACCUGCAGCCAGAACCUUCUUCAUGUGAGGAGAGUCUUACAGGUCACUCCAGGGUGGACCACUCUCUCUGCUUGCUCUUGGAUGGCCCAGCAGCUGGCUUCUCCAGGUGGAGGAUGGUCUGCGUCUGGACGCCAGGCACCCCAGGCACCCAGGAAGCCACCCUGUUGCUAUCCCCACGGUGUCCACACUCGUAGGCCUGCCGGACUUUUAAAUGGGGCUGCGUCCUGCUUCAGUCACCUCGGUGUGCUAGCCUACCCCGGACAGCAGGGGCUAAGUAAAUAUUUCCCAAAUGGAGGGAAAACUUGUGAAAGAAGUAUAAGGAAUGACUUUUUAUUUAUUAUUAUUAUUUAUUUUUUAGAGGGAGAUAAGGGGUGGGGGAGAGGGACAGAAGGACAGGGAGAAGGAGAGAGAGGAUCGUCGGCAGGCUUCAGGUCUGGCACGGAGUCUGAUGCGGGGCUUGAUCUCCUGACCCUGAGACUGUGACCUGAGAUGACAUCAAGAGUCAGACACUUGAGCACCUGGGUGGCUCCGUUGGUUCAGCGUCUGCCUUCGGCUCCAGUCAUGAUCUCGGGGUCCUGAGAUCGAGCCCAGUGCGGGGCUCCCUGCUCAGACGGGAGUCUGCUCCUCCUCCUAUCCUUCCCCUUGCUUGUGCUCUCUCUGUCUUCUCUUUCUCUUUCUCAAAUAAAUAAAUUAAAAAUAAUCUUUGGGGAUCCCUG